AUAAAGACAGAAUUUAAUUGAGGUAAAAAAAAAAGUCUACAUCUGCUCUUGUCUUUCAAAUAUAAUUUAAACUUUAAAUAAAAGAGCGUUUAUGAAGGAAUAUAGGUCGGCAUGGUCAAUCUGGACAGGAUUUUGGGUCAGCCAAAAAAAAAAGGAUGAAUUGAAAUCCCGCACGAUCCUCCAUUCAAAACUCGCGCCCUCUAGAUCAUCAAGCAAGAAGCAACAGUGUUCAAUGUGAUAGUGGUGAGCGGUGUAGCGUGGAUGUGUGCGUCCGUCAAUCUUUCGCAGCUACGCCUUUCCGUGAGGCGGCUGGAGCAGGAAAUCGCCGAGCCGUGCUGCAGAGAGGAAAGGAUGGCAGGUGGUGCCGCGGUGAACACUCCCAACACAUGCAGGAGGAAAGAAAGGAUGGCAGGUGGUGCCGCGGUGAACACUCCCAACACAUGCAGGAGGAAAGAAAGGAUGGCAGGUGGUGCCGCGGUGAACACUCCCAACACAUGCAGGAGGAAAGAAAGGAUGGCAGGUGGUGCCGCGGUGAACACUCCCAACACAUGCAGGAGGAAAGAAAGGAUGGCAGGUGGUGCCGCGGUGAACACUCCCAACACAUGCAGGAGGAAAAGCCAAGAAGAAAUAUAAUACAGACAAGAGACAAUGCAUGAAGACAGAUGAGGGAUCUCCAAACAAGAAGAUGGAUAAUGUGAACACAGCUACUGUGCUCACCAUCAUUUCUCAAGAGUUAGACUCUUCAGAAUUCUGGGAACUGACAGACCAGGAAGCUAUGUUCCAAGUACUGUGGUACUGCAUGUCCCUCCCACAAUCAGGCCACAAACUCACAACACCAGUUUGUGAUCACCAUCUCUCAAGCAUCUGUCACAUCCUCUGCCUCUUGAUCAGCUGAGACACCAUGAAAACACAAGAUGGAUUAUGAUGCAGAAAUGAAGAGGAUUCAGAAGAUGUUGGAUGAAGUAGAAGUGAGUAGCUCAUAAGACAAAGAAAGUGUGGGGAGGGAUGUUCCUGCCUCCAACAGUGAAAGUGAAGAAGAUUACCUGGAAGAGGAUCUGCAUGUUCCUGAUUUUGAAUGUUAUGAAUCAGACCCAGAUGAUCUACCAGACCAGCCCCAAAAGAAAAAGGCAAAAAAUUGAUGGAUGGAAGGGAAAAAGAUAAAACAACAUGAUGGAAGAAGAAUGUUCCUAAAUUGCUAUGUCAUACCCUUUCUAGCAAUGUUAUCAAAUUUACACCAGAACUAAAUGCCAAUUCUCCUGCAGACUUUUUGGGAGUCUUCAUCACGGUUCAUCAUUGGCUUAUUAGUAGAACAUACUAACUCGAUGAUCGCUAUGCAGAAAGGGAACUAUACUCAGCCCUACAGAACAAAAGACACUGAUGUUUUCAAAGUGAAGGCAUUGACUGGACUGCUUAUGUUAGCUGGUACAUAUCAUGUUAGCAGGCUGCACCUUGCUCAUAUCUGGAAAGCAGAUGGUACUUGCAUCAAGGUGUUCAGGCUGACUACGUCACUGGAUUGCUUUCAUUUUCUAUUAUGUUGUCUAUAAUUUGAUGACAAAGCAACAAGUGAGAAAAGAAAGAAGGUGGAUAAGCUUGCCCCAGUUAGGCAAAUAUUUGAGAUGUUUGUGGAAAAUUGCAAAAAGAAAAACACCCCAUCAGAAUUUGUGACUAUAGAUGAAAUGCUUGUAGCCUUUAGGGGCCACUGUCCCUUUAGGAAAUAUAUACCCAGUAAACCAGCCAAAUAUGGCAUCAAAUCAUCACGUUCUAUAAUUCAACCAAAGGAGGAAUAGAUGUGCUUGACAUGAUGAUGGAUAAGUAUUACGUUUCCAGAAACAGCUGGUGUUGGCCUCUAAUUGUGUUCUUUGCUCUGCUGAACAUUGUCUGUGUAAAUUCGUAUGUCCUGUAUGCUCACAACCCACAGAAUAAACUCAAGCACCGCAAAUUCAUCAAGAAAGUAUGCAUGAUGCUAUUAGAAGACACUCUAAAGAAAAGACUGCAGAACAAAAGGCCAAAAGGUCUCAGAACAGAAAUUGCAAGGCUGUUCCCUGAAAUUGCAGAUGCAACAUCCUCAACAAGCUCACACUUGUUACAAUGCCAGGCAAAGAGAUGUGUAUUUUGUGCCAGGUCAAAGGAUCGAAA